CCUACACCCACUAUACAUCCACAAACCCGUGUGCACUGUCUUGGAGAAAGGCUUCAGAGAAGUUUUUUGUGGCCUCUCUUGGGGUCUUUCUUCGCUACAAACUCGAAUGGUUAGUAUGAACGUGGAACUUGGUUGGACCGUCACUGGCCAACAAACUAUACACAACUUUCGACAACGGAUCUCUUGGUUCUCCCAUCGAUGAAGAACGCAGCGAAACGCGAUAGGUAAUGUGAAUUGCAGAAUUCCGUGAAUCAUCGAAUCUUUGAACGCACCUUGCGCUCUAUGGCAAUCCGUAGAGCAUGCCUAUUUGAGUGCCAUGAAAUCUCCCACCCCAAGCGGUUUCUAAAUGAAACGGCUUGGCGGAUGGGGUCUGGAUGGGUGCCUCUGCCUGCGCUACCUAGCACAGGCUCGCCCGAAAUGCAUGAGCGCCUUGAGACACUUUGCAUCCGCCUCUCUGUUUGGGAGGAGGCGGCCAAGCAGUGUUUUUCUCCUGGCAUGGCAUGAUACGUCAUUUGCUAUGUCGCCUAAAGGAGGAAUGUUUGGUUGUGUCUGCGUGUGCUUCGAACUUUGCCUCUGUGGCACAUCCCAAUUUCACCUCUGGUCUCAAAUCAGGUAGGAUCACCCGCUGAACUUAAGCAUAUCAAUAA
rnacentral:rRNA from 1 species